rnacentral:rRNA from 1 species
AGCCCUACGGGGCGCAGCAGUGGGGGCUAUUGGACAAUGGGGGGAACCCUGAUCCAGCGACGCCGCGUAAGUGAAGAAGUAUUUCGGUAUGUAAAGCUCUGUCAGCAGGGAAGAAAGCAAUGACGGUACCUGACCAAGAAGCCCCGGUUCACUACGUGCCAGCAGCCGCGGUAAUACGUAGGGGGAAAGCGUUAUCCGGAAUUACUGGGUGUAAAGGGAGCGUAGACGGCUGU